AGCCCAUUUCACAGCUUGAAUUAGACUCGUAUAUCCGGACAAUAAUUUUGGCGCAGACGAUUGCAAAACCCGGUUGUUGGUGAACCUGAUCAAUUUAGAAAACAUAUCGAAGAACAGCGCGAAGACAAUCGCGGCAACGACUGGAAGUCUUUGGCUGUUUGUUGCCUUCAUCCCUACUUCAAACCCGAUAUUGAAAUAGGAGCGGUUGUUGGCUAAAGAAAGACUUACGGUCUUUGAUGGAGAUUUUUAUGUUCUAAUGCUUAUGUCUAAUCUUUGAUCAUUUUUGGGCUCUCUUAGAACGAAGGAGUGAUCAACACGUUCCAUGAUGGAGGCACAACUCUGUUCAACUUUGUGAAAACAUCACGGUCAAACCAUUGAUUUUCUGACAAUUUCUUAACAUGGAUGCAAUAAUGCCACAUGCUUUAGCAGCGAUGGUCGGAGCUCGGAGAAAAAAAGGUGUCUCUACGCAGUAUUAUUCAGAAUUUAUUCAAUUCUAGUUGAAAUGUUGCUGUCUUUCAGUUAUUAACUGGUGCCGAGUCGGUCAGUAUUAACAACUUAAUUAGAAAAUUUGUUAGUUGAGAGUCGGCCCUUUUCAAACUGUACUAGAAUUUGGGACAGAUUGUUUCAUGAUUUGCACUGUAGAAAUCUUCAAGAGCCAUGUAUUGAAAUUUGUACUUCCAGCUGGAGGAAUCGACUCAAAACUAGUACUGGUAUGGUACUGCCAUUAUUCCUCAUAUAAGCACAAUAGCUCACAGACUGGACAUAAUGCCAAUUGUCAUUAUAAUCACAGAGGGAAGUUCUAUAUCUGAGUCUUUGCAAAUAGAGAAGAUGUUCUUUCUGUUUGUUUUUGCAACUUCUCUUUAGGGGUUUCCACUCAAAAUCAGUGUAUUAGCAGAAGGAAGCAGCACAAGAAGACAUGUUAAUGUUACAGAGUCCUGGUUUGCUAUUAUUUCUUCCUUUGACCCAACUAAAGGGGCUGGAAUUUGACAACUUUGGUGCUCAUUGGCCGUGUUUUCUGGGCAUGCAUGUCAAUGGUCAUGAUAGCCUCCCGAGCAUCAUCAUCAUUUUGAGCCAUGUUCGUCCAAUUAAAAGAAGGGAAGGAGAAUCAUGAUUUGUGCUGGCACUGAGACAGCUGAUUAGCUAGUGUAUUUAUGGAUUCUUGAGCUCCUCUAUAAGGAGCUCGGUGGGCCCCUAGUGGGCCCGCCCGGGGAGACCCUAUAAAUUCAUAAACCCCCCUAUCCGGAGGAGGAGAAUUCGAACUCCCCACCUUUUCAUUCUCAUGUGGGAAUAGUGGCCAUUGGGGCAAACCCCCGGUGGUUUCUUAUUUCUAAUAUUUACUAUACGCCUUCGAUGAGAAAUGGCACUAGAGAUCGAAUUAGGAAUAGGAGGAAAAUGCCUAGCUGAUACAAUAAAAAUGCUAACACGAAACAAAACAUGACAAUAGAUUUACAUUGCAAA